rnacentral:rRNA from 1 species
UCCUACGGGGCGCAGCAGUGGGGAAUAUUGCACAAUGGGGGAAACCCUGAUGCAGCGACGCCGCGUGAGUGAAGAAGUAUCUCGGUACGUAAAGCUCUAUCAGCAAGGAAGAAAAUGACGGUACCUGACCAAGAAGCCCCGGCUAACUACGUGCCAGCAGCCGCGGUAAUACGUAGGGGGCAAGCGUUAUCCGGAUUUACUGGGUGUAAAGGGAGCGUAGACGGCAGGGCAAGUCUGGAGUGAAAGCCCGGGGCCCAACCCCGGGACUGCUUUGGAAACUGCCAUGCUAGAGUGCUGGAGAGGUA